UACGUAGGGUGCGAGCGUUGUCCGGAAUUAUUGGGCGUAAAGAGCUUGUAGGCGGUUUGUCGCGUCUGCUGUGAAAAUCCGAGGCUCAACCUCGGACUUGCAGUGGGUACGGGCAGACUAGAGUGUGGUAGGGGAGACUGGAAUCCUGGUGUAGCGGUGGAAUGCGCAGAUAUCAGGAGGAACACCGAUGGCGAAGGCAGGUCUCUGGGCCACUACUGACGCUGAGAAGCGAAAGCAUGGGGAGCGAACAGG
rnacentral:rRNA from 1 species